CCUACGGGGGGCUGCAGUGGGGAAUAUUGGGCAAUGGGCGCAAGCCUGACCCAGCAACGCCGCGUGAAGGAAGAAGGCGUUCGGGUUGUAAACUUCUUUUCUCAGGGACGAAGCAAGUGACGGUACCUGAGGAAUAAGCCACGGCUAACGACGGGCCAGCAGCCGCGGUAAUACGUAGGUGGCAAGCGUUAGCCGGAUUUACUGGGUGUAAAGGGCGGGUAGGCGGGAAAGCAAGUCAGAUGUGAAAACCAUGGGCUCAACCUGUGGCCUGCAUUGGCAACUGUUUUUCUUGAGUACUGGAGAGUCAGCCGGCAUUCCUAGUGUAGCUGUGCAAUGCGUAGAUAUUAGGAGGAACACCAGUGGCGAAGGCGGUCUGCUGGACAGCAACUGACGCUGAGGCGCGAAAGCGUGGGGAGCAAACAGGAUUCGAUACCCGAGUAGUC
rnacentral:rRNA from 1 species